rnacentral:rRNA from 1 species
CGCCUGUUUUACAAAAACAUGUCCUUUUGGGUGAAUAUGAGGUCUGACCUGCCCACUGAUGUUUGAAUGGCCGCAGUAUUUUAACUGUGCAAAGGUAGCAUAAUCAUUAGUCUUUUAAUUGAAGGCUGGUAUGAAUGGUUGGACGAGAUACUAUCUGUUUCAUGUAGAGUUAGAUUAGAAUUUUAUUUUUCAGUAAAAAAGCUGAAAUGGUUUUUAAAGACGAGAAGACCCUAUAAAUCUUUAUAGUUGAUUUGUUAUAAUUUUUUAGAUGGGUUGUAUUAUGACAGUUGAUACUAUUUUAUUGGGGUGAUAUUAAAAUUUAAUUAACUUUUAGUUUUUGGUGACAUUAAUUAAUGAUUGAAUGAUCCGUUAAUGACGAUUGGAAAAUUAAGUUACUUUAGGGAUAACAGCGUAAUUUUUUUGGAGAGUUCUUAUCGAUAAAAGUGAUUGCGACCUCGAUGUUGGAUUAAGAGAUAGGUUUGGGUGUAGCAGCUUGAAUUCUAAGUCUGUUCGACUUUUAAUUUCUUACAUGACCUGAGUUC